rnacentral:rRNA from 1 species
AGCUUACACAUGCAAGUCGAGCGGAGUGAUGGUGCUUGCACUAUCACUUAGCGGCGGACGGGUGAGUAAUGCUUAGGAAUCUGCCUAUUAGUGGGGGACAACAUUUCGAAAGGAAUGCUAAUACCGCAUACGUCCUACGGGAGAAAGCAGGGGAUCUUCGGACCUUGCGCUAAUAGAUGAGCCUAAGUCGGAUUAGCUAGUUGGUGGGGUAAAGGCCUACCAAGGCGACGAUCUGUAGCGGGUCUGAGAGGAUGAUCCGCCACACUGGGACUGAGACACGGCCCAGACUCCUACGGGAGGCAGCAGUGGGGAAUAUUGGACAAUGGGCGCAAGCCUGAUCCAGCCAUGCCGCGUGUGUGAAGAAGGCCUUAUGGUUGUAAAGCACUUUAAGCGAGGAGGAGGCUACUGAAGUUAAUACCUUCAGAUAGUGGACGUUACUCGCAGAAUAAGCACCGGCUAACUCUGUGCCAGCAGCCGCGGUAAUACAGAGGGUGCAAGCGUUAAUCGGAUUUACUGGGCGUAAAGCGCGCGUAGGCGGCUAAUUAAGUCAAAUGUGAAAUCCCCGAGCUUAACUUGGGAAUUGCAUUCGAUACUGGUUAGCUAGAGUGUGGGAGAGGAUGGUAGAAUUCCAGGUGUAGCGGUGAAAUGCGUAGAGAUCUGGAGGAAUACCGAUGGCGAAGGCAGCCAUCUGGCCUAACACUGACGCUGAGGUGCGAAAGCAUGGGGAGCAAACAGGAUUAGAUACCCUGGUAGUCCAUGCCGUAAACGAUGUCUACUAGCCGUUGGGGCCUUUGAGGCUUUAGUGGCGCAGCUAACGCGAUAAGUAGACCGCCUGGGGAGUACGGUCGCAAGACUAAAACUCAAAUGAAUUGACGGGGGCCCGCACAAGCGGUGGAGCAUGUGGUUUAAUUCGAUGCAACGCGAAGAACCUUACCUGGCCUUGACAUAGUAAGAACUUUCCAGAGAUGGAUUGGUGCCUUCGGGAACUUACAUACAGGUGCUGCAUGGCUGUCGUCAGCUCGUGUCGUGAGAUGUUGGGUUAAGUCCCGCAACGAGCGCAACCCUUUUCCUUAUUUGCCAGCGAGUAAUGUCGGGAACUUUAAGGAUACUGCCAGUGACAAACUGGAGGAAGGCGGGGACGACGUCAAGUCAUCAUGGCCCUUACGGCCAGGGCUACACACGUGCUACAAUGGUCGGUACAAAGGGUUGCUACCUAGCGAUAGGAUGCUAAUCUCAAAAAGCCGAUCGUAGUCCGGAUUGGAGUCUGCAACUCGACUCCAUGAAGUCGGAAUCGCUAGUAAUCGCGGAUCAGAAUGCCGCGGUGAAUACGUUCCCGGGCCUUGUACACACCGCCCGUCACACCAUGGGAGUUUGUGCACCAGAAGUAGGUAGUCUAACCGCAAGGAGGACGCUUACCACGGUUGCCGA